AACGAACGCUGGCGGCAUGCCUAACACAUGCAAGUCGAACGAGACCUUCGGGUCUAGUGGCGCACGGGUGCGUAACGCGUGGGAACCUGCCUUUAGGUCCGGAAUAACUCCUCGAAAGGGGUGCUAAUACCGGAUAAUGUCUUCGGACCAAAGAUUUAUUGCCUUUAGAUGGGCCCGCGUUGGAUUAGCUUGUUGGUGGGGUAAAGGCCUACCAAGGCGACGAUCCAUAGCUGGUCUUAGAGGAUGAUCAGCCACACUGGGACUGAGACACGGCCCAGACUCCUACGGGAGGCAGCAGUGGGGAAUAUUGGGACAAUGGGCGAAAGCCUGAUCCAGCAAUGCCGCGUGAGUGAUGAAGGCCCUAGGGUUGUAAG
rnacentral:rRNA from 1 species